GCUAACGCGAAGAACCUUACCAGGCCUUGACAUGCAGAGAACUUUCCAGAGAUGGAUUGGUGCCUUCGGGAACUCUGACACAGGUGCUGCAUGGCUGUCGUCAGCUCGUGUCGUGAGAUGUUGGGUUAAGGUCCCGUAACGAGCGCAACCCUUGUCCUUAGUUACCAGCACGUUAUGGUGGGCACUCUAAGGAGACUGCCGGUGACAAACCGGAGGAAGGUGGGGGAUGACGUCAAGUCAUCAUGGCCCUUACGGCCUGGGCUACACACGUGCUACAAUGGUCGGUACAAAGGGUUGCCAAGCCGCGAGGUGGAGCUAAUCCCAUAAAACCGAUCGUAGUCCGGAUCGCAGUCUGCAACUCGACUGCGUGAAGUCGGAAUCGCUAGUAAUCGUGAAUCAGAAUGUCACGGUGAAUACGUUCCCGGGCCUU
rnacentral:rRNA from 1 species